GUUCUUCCUGGUCUCUAAUGCCUUCCAUAAUUUUUAUCUGUUUUAAAAUAGUGAUAGGCAAUAAAAUAAUGCUGCUUGAGAUUAGAUAUUGAGAAAGAUGAUUCCUCUCCAUGUAAAUAAAAUGCAUCUAAGAUGAAUCAUCUGGCUGGUAUUAAGAGGUAAAGGCUGUCUCGUACCUGCCCAGAGUAGCAGGUCACGUAUAGACCUGUGAUUGAUCUGUAUACCUGGGAUUAAUACCUGUGGCUAAUCUAAGCUGGUAGGAUACAAAUGUUUUUUGACUUCAGAACCUGAUCUGCAGUAAAAUCUUAGCAGAGGCAUAAAACAGGAGAGGGGAAGGAGGAGAGGGCUUUAAAUGAAGGAAGUGUUUGGAAGGAACUGGGGAGAACUCUGUAGCUGCUUCUACUUCUGCCCAGUGACAUUGCUCCGUCCCCUUCCAGAAUCCCAUGAGUUUCUCCUUUUGUGCACAAGCCCUUAAAGGCUCUAGUCUCUUUUCUGGGCUCAGCUGACAGGAAUUUUGGCCAAGAGAUUUUGGUUAACCCCUAAUCUAUCCAGCAUUAUCAGGAAUAAGAUACAUUUGGGUUUUAUUUUAAAUUACUAAUGUGUCCUCACUUAACGCGCAGGGAAUUUUAAACUUCUAGAUUUUGUGAAAAGUGUUCUAAUACGUAUUACAUACGUGUCUGUCCCCUUUGGUAACAACAUAGGUUGGCUUUCUGCUAAAGACUGACUCUUUGUUUUGAAAGCAAAGUACUAGACUCUGUGCAACACGUCCUUAGAGGAUGGGUGGUUUCCCUAUGCAGCCUACAGUCUUAGGAGGCCCUCGUCCCUCAGUCCCCUGUCUCUGGGUCACGUGCCUCUUUGAGCAUCCCUGCUUGCCCUUGGCCCUGCUCCAGGUCUGUCCCCACUGCCUCCCCUUCCCUGCAAACCUCAGGUCAUGGCCGAGGACUGACUCCUGGCCGAAGACCAACUCCAGUAGGCAGCAGGGGAGAAAUUUAGCUUUGACUUCCAUUUGCAAAGCAGGACAGCCUGAGGGAGUCUUCAUUCCCUAGAGGGAAUCAUCCUUUGCUGGUCUUCCCACUGAAGAUUCCAGAGAGUAAGGAGAGUGAACUGCCAAGGCAGCAGUAUUUGGAGUUUGACAAUUGAUGGCUUUUGAAGGUCUGUUUUAUUUUAAUGUGUAUGUGGAUUUCCAUUAAACUCUAUAAGCUAUCACCAUUUCAGCAUGAUGUUUUGCUGGGUAAAUGGAAGUGUCUGUAAGAUACCAUGUUUAUCCCGUGGCUUCUAUUCCUCAAUGUCUUGUCAGAGUCCCAGCAGGAGACAGACACCUACUCAGGUGGGUCAACUGAAUGAAGCAGUAAAAGGAACCCCGCACAGGGGUUGGGCUGGGGGUGGGGCACUGGGGCUCAGAAAGACUUUUACACCUGAGGCCUGCAAGACCCAGAGAGGACUUGCUCCAGCAGAGCCCAGGAGAGUGGGGUCACGUGUGAGGGCCCCUGGGCAGGAGCUACAGGAGAAAAGGGAAGAAAUACUUUGACUUCUUUCUCUUCCAUCCCCCACCUCCACCCUCGCCUCUUGCCAGGGCUGCCCCGUGGAUGAUCCCAGGUGGGAGCCAGGUGGCAGGGAGCCCACGGAGUACUGGUCACGGAGGUCAGCCAGCUAGGGCAUGCACACAGACCAGGGCGGCAUCUCUGGGUGGGGGUGGGGGGGGGGGGCAGCUGCAAGCAGCACCCCUGCUGUCUCCCCUUCCCUUCUCCCUGCCAGGGUUUGAGCUUCUUGCACAUAGGAAUCUUCCAUCUGCAGGGGCCUUUUAAGACUCACACUGAGGAGCCGGCCUUUGGGCCUGUUUUUCUGUUCCGGAUCUUGCAUUAGUUUGGAGACAGAUGAGCAGGCCCGCUCCUCAUCUCAGGAAGCACCUCUCACCAGAUGAUCCCCAGACUGAGAAGAGAACCCAAACUUCUGGGCCUGGAGUAUCUUCAUGUUGGAUUAUCCUCUUCAUAGAUACAGCUGCUCCCUGGGGCCUUCUCAUUUUUGAAUCUAGUUUUCUUCAAAGCUCCUAGCUCUUUAACAGAGCUACUUACCCAGCCAGGCCUUCUGUCCUCCUUCCCGGAAGCUCCAGUGCCCUGUCCAGGAUCUGCCAGUCUCCAGGACUCAUCUUCUGGACUCUUGUCCCCACCCUUCCCCCACCCCACCCCUUGUGUUUAAAAUGCCAAUUUCUAGAUCAGAUCUUGAA